CCUACGGGUGGCAGCAGUGAGGAAUAUUGGUCAAUGGGCGGAAGCCUGAACCAGCCAAGUAGCGUGCGGGAUGAAGGCCCUACGGGUCGUAAACCGCUUUUGCACGGGGAUAACACCCUCCACUUGUGGAGGUCUGCAGGUACCGUGCGAAUAAGGGCCGGCUAAUUCCGUGCCAGCAGCCGCGGUAAUACGGAGGAUGCGAGCGUUAUCCGGAUUUAUUGGGUUUAAAGGGUGCGCAGGCGGGCUGUUAAGCCGGCGGUAAAAAUUCAGGGCUCAACCCUGUCGAGCCGUCGGAACUGGCAGUCUUGAGUGGGCGAGAAGUAUGCGGAAUGCGUGGUGUAGCGGUGAAAUGCAUAGAUAUCACGCAGAACGCCGAUUGCGAAGGCAGCAUACCGGCGCCCAACUGACGCUGAGGCACGAAAGCGCGGGUAUCGAACAGGAUUAGAUACCCCAGUAGUC
rnacentral:rRNA from 1 species